UACAGAGGUCUCAAGCGUUGUUCGGAUUCAUUGGGCGUAAAGGGUGUGUAGGUGGCGCGCUAAGUCGGGUGUGAAAUUUCGGGAGUCUUAACUCCGAAACUGCAUUCGAUACUGGCGUGCUUGAGGACUGGAGAGGAGACUGGAAUUCAUGGUGUAGCAGUGAAAUGCGUAGAGAUCAAGAGGAACACUCGUGGCGAAAAGCAGAGCUACGUGGAACAAUAUCUGACGCUGAGGCUCGAAGGCCAGGGUAGCGAAAGGG
rnacentral:rRNA from 1 species